rnacentral:rRNA from 1 species
CAGUCGCGGUAAAACGUAGGUGGCAAGCGUUGUCCGGAAUUAUUGGGCGUAAAGGGCUCGCAGGCGGUUUCUUAAGUCUGAUGUGAAAGCCCCCGGCUCAACCGGGGAGGGUCAUUGGAAACUGGGAAACUUGAGUGCAGAAGAGGAGAGUGGAAUUCCACGUGUAGCGGUGAAAUGCGUAGAGAUGUGGAGGAACACCAGUGGCGAAGGCGACUCUCUGGUCUGUAACUGACGCUGAGGAGCGAAAGCGUGGGGAGCGAACAGGAUUAGAUACCCCUGUAGUCCCUGUCUCUUAUACACA